CUAAAUACGUGCCAGCAGCCGCGGUAAUACGUAUGUCGCAAGCGUUAUCCGGAUUUAUUGGGCGUAAAGCGCGUCUAGGCGGCUUAGUAAGUCUGAUGUGAAAAUGCGGGGCUCAACCCCGUAUUGCGUUGGAAACUGCUAAACUAGAGUACUGGAGAGGUAGGCGGAACUACAAGUGUAGAGGUGAAAUUCGUAGAUAUUUGUAGGAAUGCCGAUGGGGAAGCCAGCCUACUGGACAGAUACUGACGCUAAAGCGCGAAAGCGUGGGUAGCAAACAGGAUUAGAUACCCUGGUAGUCCACGCCGUAAACGAUGAUUACUAGGUGUUGGGGGUCGAACCUCAGCGCCCAAGCUAACGCGAUAAGUAAUCCGCCUGGGGAGUACGUACGCAAGUAUGAAACUCAAAGGAAUUGACGGGGACCCGCACAAGCGGUGGAGCAUGUGGUUUAAUUCGACGCAACGCGAGGAACCUUACCAGCGUUUGACAUCCCAAGAAGUUAACAGAGAUGUUUUCGUGCCUCUUCGGAGGAACUUGGUGACAGGUGGUGCAUGGCUGCCGUCAGCUCGUGUCGUGGGAUGUUGGGUUAAGUCCCGCAACGAGCGCAACCCCUUUCGUAUGUUACCAUCAUUAAGUUGGGGACUCAUGCGAGACUGCCUGCGAUGAGCAGGAGGAAGGUGGGGAUGACGUCAAGUCAUCAUGCCCCUUAUACGCUGGGCUACACACGUGCUACAAUGGGUAGUACGGAGAGCUGCAAACCUGCGAGGGUAAGCUAAUCUCAUAAAACUAUUCUUAGUUCGGAUUGUACUCUGCAACUCGAGUACAUGAAGUUGGAAUCGCUAGUAAUCGCAAAUCAGCUAUGUUGCGGUGAAUACGUUCUCGGGUCUUGUACACACCGCCCGUCACACCACGAGAGUUGGUUGCACCUGAAGUAACAGGCCUAACCGUAAGGAGGGAUGUUCCGAGGGUGUGAUUAGCGAUUGGGGUGAAGUCGUAACAAGGUACC
rnacentral:rRNA from 1 species